UACGGGUGGGGCAAGCGUUGUUCGGAAUUACUGGGCGUAAAGGGCUCGUAGGCGGCCAACUAAGUCGGAUGUGAAAUCCCCAGGCUUAACCUGGGAACUGCAUCCGAUACUGGAUGGCUUGAAUCCGGGAGAGGGAUGCAGAAUUCCAGGUGUAGCGGUGAAAUGCGUAGAUAUCUGGAGGAAUACCGGUGGCGAAGGCGGCAUCCUGGACCGGCAUUGACGCUGAGUGAGCGAAAGCCAGGGGAGCAAACGGG
rnacentral:rRNA from 1 species